rnacentral:rRNA from 1 species
AUGAACGCUGGCGGCGUGCCUAAUCCCUGCAAGUCGAGCGAACGGACGAGAAGCUUGCUUCUCUGAUGUUAGCGGCGGACGGGUGAGUAACCCGUGGAUAACCUACCUAUAAGACUGGGAUAACUUCGGGAAACCGGAGCUAAUACCGGAUAAUAUUUUGAACCGCAUGGUUCAAAAGUGAAAGACGGUCUUGCUGUCACUUAUAGAUGGAUCCGCGCUGCAUUAGCUAGUUGGUAAGGUAACGGCUUACCAAGGCAACGAUGCAUAGCCGACCUGAGAGGGUGAUCGGCCACACUGGAACUGAGACACGGUCCAGACUCCUACGGGAGGCAGCAGUAGGGAAUCUUCCGCAAUGGGCGAAAGCCUGACGGAGCAACGCCGCGUGAGUGAUGAAGGUCUUCGGAUCGUAAAACUCUGUUAUUAGGGAAGAACAUAUGUGUAAGUAACUGUGCACAUCUUGACGGUACCUAAUCAGAAAGCCACGGCUAGCUACGUG